UGGGGAAUCUUGCGCAAUGGGGGAAACCCUGACGCAGCGACGCCGCGUGCGGGAUGAAGGCCUUCGGGUUGUAAACCGCUUUCAGCAGGGACGAGGCCUUAUGGUGACGGUACCUGCAGAAGAAGCUCCGGCUAAAUACGUGCCAGCAGCCGCGGUAAUACGUAUGGAGCAAGCGUUAUCCGGAUUCAUUGGGCGUAAAGCGCUCGUAGGCGGUCUGUUAGGUCGGCAAGUUAAAUCCGGGGGCUCAACCCCCGUCCGCUUCCGAUACCGGCAGACUUGAGUUUGGUAGGGGAAGGUGGAAUUCCUAGUGUAGCGGUGGAAUGCGCAGAUAUUAGGAAGAACACCGGUGGCAAAGGCGGCCUUCUGGGCCAUAACUGACGCUGAGGAGCGAAAGCUAGGGGAGCGAACAGG
rnacentral:rRNA from 1 species